CAAGUUGUGUAUAGCAUCAUGGUGCAUUAGUGCCAUCUAAUAGCACGGUUCGUUAAAACAAGCGCAUGUGCCAACUUAGAUCAAUAUAACCAUCAGAGAAAUUCUUGUGAAGUUUUCCCCAUUUGAGAAUCAGGCGCUAUUUGAAACACGUAUAUAGUAGAAACGAACAGGGUGGUACGUAAAUUGAGAAACGGAAAGAAACUUUUUUAAAGGAAUAUGUACGGAUUUGUAAACUACGCUUUGGAACUUUUGGUAAUUAAAACGUUUGGAGAAGAUACUUGGGAAACUAUUAAGAAAAAUGCAGAUGUUCAAAUGGAGGGUCAGUUUUUGGCCCGUCAAAUCUACGACGAUGAAAUUACCUACAAUAUUGUCUCAGCUGCUGUUGAAGUUCUCAAUAUUCCAGCAAAUGCAAUUUUGGAAUUGUUUGGGAAAGCUUUUUUUGAGUUUUGCCAAGAUUCAGGCUAUGACAAAAUCCUGCAAGUUUUGGGAGCAACACCUCGAGAUUUCUUACAGAAUCUAGACGCAUUACACGAUCAUCUCGGUACUCUAUACCCAGGUAUGAGAGCUCCUUCGUUUCGUUGUACAGAACGUCCUGAGGAUGGAGCGUUAAUUCUCCAUUAUUAUUCUGACAGGCCAGGCUUGGAACCAAUUGUCAUAGGUAUCGUUAAGGCAGUAGCUAGUAAACUCCAUCAAACUGAAGUUGAAGUUGAAAUAUUGAAAACGAAAGAGGAAUGUGACCACGUUCAAUUUCUCAUAACUGAGAAAAGUAAACCUGAUAGGACACAAAGUACAGAAAUUGAGGAAAUCGAAACACUAUCACUUGAACAAAAAGUAAGCCCAGCAACAUUCUGUAAAGUGUUUCCAUUCCACAUCAUGUUCAACAGAGACAUGAAAAUAAUUCAAGCUGGUAAUACAGUGACAAGAAUCAUGCCUAAAGUUAAUGGAAAUGAUUGCAAGAUAACGGACGUGUUAGAUCCGGUUCGUCCGCACUUGGAACUAACAUUCGAAAACAUUCUUUCACAUAUUAACACCAUAUACGUGUUGAAGACUAAAGGAGGCGUGAUUCAAGCGAACGCGUCUCCAGAGUAUAGAUACUUGCGUCUGAAAGGCCAAAUGCUGUACGUGCCAGAAACCGAUGUGGUCAUUUUUAUCUGCUAUCCCAGUGUAAUGAACCUCGAUGACCUCACAAGACGAGGACUAUAUAUAAGCGAUAUACCAUUACAUGAUGCUACAAGAGAUUUGGUUUUAAUGUCUGAACAAUUCGAAGCCGAUUAUAAACUUACUAGAAAUCUUGAGAUUCUUACCGACAAAUUGCAGCAGACAUACAGAGAACUUGAGAGCGAAAAGCAGAAGACUGAUAGGUUAUUGUACUCGGUACUUCCCAUAACUGUUGCAAAUGAUUUGAGACACAAGAGACCCGUUCCCGCUAGAAGAUAUGACUGUGUGACUUUGCUUUUUUCUGGAAUUGUCGACUUCUCCACGUAUUGUGCAAAUAACACAGAUUCCAAAGGCGCAAUGAAAACGGUACACAUGCUUAACCAACUGUAUACCGCUUUCGACGUUUUAACCGAUCCUAAGAGGAAUCCGAAUAUUUAUAAGGUUGAAACAGUAGGCGAUAAAUACAUGGCUGUUAGCGGCUUGCCAGAGCCAUGCAUUUCCCAUGCUAGGAAUAUAGGAAGACUCGCCUUAGAUAUGAUGGACAAAAUGAAAGAAAUCGCAAUCGACGAAGAACAAGUUAAAAUAACAAUAGGUAUUCAUUCUGGUGAAGUUGUAACAGGAGUAAUUGGGCACCGUAUGCCUCGAUAUUGUUUGUUUGGAAAUACAGUCAACUUAACCAGUAGAACUGAAACAACUGGAACUCCAGGACGCAUUAAUGUAUCGGAAGAUGCCUACACAUUUCUAUGUCGAGAGGAUAACUUCGAUGAGCAAUUCUGCUUCGAAUAUAGAGGUCCAGUAAUUAUGAAAGGAAAAUCUGAGCCAAUGAAAGUCUGGUUUUUAUCACGAGCAGCCAAUAAUAAGGAUUGCGAUGCAUCUCCGUAAUUACACUUUAGUUUCUAUUCUAAACACAUGUGGUGUAAUAAAGGAAGUUUACAUGUACAUUGAUUUAAUAGAGAAAAAGAAUUUCUCGUUCAUAAAAGGCUAUUUAUAUUCAGAUUGAUGUAAAGUGCUACAUGUAUAUGUAUAUUUCUAAAACAGACACAAGAAAAAGAGCCACAUCAUCGUCAUUAAAUUCGCUGUUGAUGAACUGCAUUAACGGUUAAACAGAUGGUUAAUAACAAUGAUAAUAAUAAUGUUGUCUUCGUAUAUAGUACAAUUUUAGGUGUACUAAGUAAUUUCAAGAAAAUUAAA
rnacentral:misc_RNA from 1 species